ACGAACGCUGGCGGCGUGCUUAACACAUGCAAGUCGAGCGGUAAGGCCCUUUCGGGGGUACACGAGCGGCGAACGGGUGAGUAACACGUGGGUGACCUGCCCUCAGCUCUGGGAUAAGCCUGGGAAACCGGGUCUAAUACUGGAUAUGACUCCAUGACGCAUGUUGUGGGGUGGAAAGCCUUGUGCGGCUGAGGAUGGGCCCGCGGCCUAUCAGCUUGUUGGUGGGGGAUGGCCUACCAAGGCGACGACGGGUAGCCGGCCUGAGAGGGCGACCGGCCACACUGGGACUGAGACACGGCCCAGACUCCUACGGGAGGCAGCAGUGGGGAAUCUUGCGCAAUGGGCGAAAGCCUGACGCAGCGACGCCGCGUGAGGGAUGACGGCCU
rnacentral:rRNA from 1 species